GAUGAACGCUGGCGGCGUGCCUAAUACAUGCAAGUCGAGCGAACGGACGAGAAGCUUGCUUCUCUGAUGUUAGCGGCGGACGGGUGAGUAACACGUGGAUAACCUACCUAUAAGACUGGGAUAACUUCGGGAAACCGUAGCUAAUACCGGAUAAUAUUUUGAACCGCAUGGUUCAAAAGUGAAAGACGGUCUUGCUGUCACUUAUAGAUGGAUCCGCGCUGCAUUAGCUAGUUGGUAAGGUAACGGCUUACCAAGGCAACGAUGCAUAGCCGACCUGAGAGGGUGAUCGGCCACACUGGAACUGAGACACGGUCCAGACUCCUACGGGAGGCAGCAGUAGGGAAUCUUCCGCAAUGGGCGAUAGCCUGACGGAGCAACGCCGCGUGAGUGAUGAAGGUCUUCGGAUCGUAAAACUCUGUUAUUAGGGAAGAACAUAUGUGUAAGUAACUGUGCACAUCUUGACGGUACCUAAUCAGAAAGCCACGGCCAACUACGUG
rnacentral:rRNA from 1 species